GGGGGAUUAGCUCAGCUGGUUCAGAGCAUCUGCCUUACAAGCAGAGGGUCGGGGGUUCGAAUCCCUCAUCCCCCA
rnacentral:tRNA from 1 species